ACAUGCAGAGAACUUUCCAGAGAUGGAGUUGGUGCCUUCGGGAACUCUGACACAGGUGGCUGCAUGGCUGUCGUCAGCCUCGUGUCGUGAGAUGUUGGGUUAAGUCCGUAACGAGCGCAACCCUUGUCCUUAGUUACCAGCACGUUAUGGUGGGCACUCUAAGGAGACUGCCGGUGGACAAACCGGAGGAAGGUGGGGGAUGACGUCAAGUCAUCAUGGCCCUUACGGCCUGGGCUACACACGUGCUACAAUGGUCGGUACAAAGGGUUGCCAAGCCGCGAGGUGGAGCUAAUCCCAUAAAACCGAUCGUAGUCCGGAUCGCAGUCUGCAACUCGACUGCGUGAAGUCGGAAUCGCUAGUAAUCGUGAAUCAGAAUGUCACGGUGAAUACGUUCCCGGGCCUU
rnacentral:rRNA from 1 species